rnacentral:tRNA from 1 species
GGGGGCAUAUACUCAGUGGUAGAGCACAUGCUUAGUAUGCACGAGGUCCUGGGUUCAAUCCCCAGUACCUCCA